ensembl:rRNA 5S_rRNA 5S ribosomal RNA
GCCUAUGGCCAUACCACCCUGAAUGCAUCUAAUCUUAUCUGAUCUUGGAAGCUAAGCAGGGUCGGGCCUGGUUAGUAUUUGGAUGGGAGACAGAUCUUCAGAAGAUAUUGCUC